rnacentral:tRNA from 1 species
GGAGAGGUGGCAGAGUGGACGAAUGCACCGGUCUUGAAAACCGGAGUUCCCGCAAGGGAACCGUGAGUUCGAAUCUCACCCUCUCCG